ACGUGGGUACCGCCCAGCACAAGAUCUACACCCUUUGCUGGAAUGCGGGGCAUAGAUCAACCACCUAGGAGGAAUAACUGCCCUCUGUCACAGGACUCGACCACCUGCCCCUCUCUUGACCUUGCCCCCCUCCCUCGUUCUUGCCACACGCUUCCACCAUGAACUCCAUCCAGCCUCAGAUCCUUUAUCCACCUAGCACCUCCUCACAGUCAGGGCUGGUGCCAUCUUGAGCUCAGCCCCUGCACCUCUGGACCCUUAAUCUCUUUUGCUUUACCAAAAAUAAAAAAUAAAUAAAAGUGUUAUUUGUUGCAUUAGCACAGAUAGAUAUUUGAGAAUAACUAUCAUCGUAUGUGUAAGACUUUUCCUAAAAUUUUAGUGAGGAUCCAGUUAAUACUUUGCCAUUUUUAUAUGUUUAUCAAGUCCUUCCCCCCCCUUUUCAUUUUCAGAAUCCUGUUCUUGUUAAUAUAUUUUGCUGAGUAGGCUUCAGCUUCGAUUUUGUUUUGAUCCAUUUUUGUGCUGUUCCAUGAGUAUGCCCAGAGACCAUUUGUGUGACCAAUUUUUAAAAGUAAAGCACAAAAAUAUAAAUAUACACGCUGAAGAUGUUAUAGUUAUUUUUCCUUCCUGCUUGUACAAUUAGUAAUUGCAGUGCAUAUUGUUAAAGAACAAAAUCAUGACUUUCUUUUUUUUUUUUUUUUUUUUUUUUUUUUUUGCUUUUUAGGGCCACACCUGCAGCAUAUGGAGUUUCCCAGGCUAAGGGUCAAAUCGGAGCUACAGCCGCUGGCCUAUGCCACAGCGACGCAGAUCCAGGAUCUGAGCCACGUCUGUGAUCUACACCAUAGCUCACGGCAACGCUGGAUUCCCAGCCCACUAAGCGAGGCCAGGAAUUAAACCUGCAUCCUCAUGGUUCCUAGUCAGGUUUGUUAACCACUGAGCCACGAAGGGAACUCUAAAAUCAUAGCAUCUUAAGAGUUGAAAGGCAACUUCAAAGUCCUAUAGCUCAGCCUCCUGCCCAGAACAAAUCUAUAAUGUUACCAACAAGGAGUCACCAAAUUACAGUUGAUAUUCCUACAAUGAGAAAAUACACUACCUUAUAAACCUUUUCUCUUUUAGGUGGUUCUAGUUGUUUGAUUUUUUUUUUUUUCCUGUUAGACAAUUGAAAUAUCUCUCUAGGACAAGUUGGUCCUACAUUUUUCAUUUGUAUUAUAAAAGAGCUAUUGUAUCUCCUGCUAAAUCUUCUCUUUUCUAGGCUUAACAUCCCUAGGCCUUUGUUCCUUAAAGCCUUCACCAGCAUUUGUAAUUUGGAUGUACCUUGGUUUUAUGUGGUUACUUACAUAAGUUAGGAAGCUUCUGUCUACAAGUAAAAGAAAACCCACCUAAAAAGAGUGGUACCCUAAAAGCUUUAAAUAGCAAUCAUUUACUAUUUCACAUAGAACAAUACAUCUGGAGAUGAGGUGGUUCUAGAUGCUUAUCAAACCAUAUUGUGUCUCUUUCAACUCUCUCAUCCUUAAUGCAAGGGAUUUUAUUUUCAUUUUAUCCUCUUAUGUUUGCAGGCCACCAUAGCAGCUCUAGGAAAAGCUUUACACAGCCACAUCCAGAGGCAAGAAAAAAAGGUUUUCCUUAUUCUUUUUCUUCUGAGUACAACUUUUUUCCAGAAAUUCCUCAGCAGAUGUGCCUUUGAUAUAUAUCACAUUCCUAAAAACCUGCUAAACCACCAUUGGUUAAAAGUGAGGCUCUCCCUACCCAGAAGGUCAGGGAAACGGUUAGAUUUGAAUGGGGAACCAAUAGUUUGUUGAUCACCAAAAUGGAAUACUUAAUACUGUGUGGUCUGACGAAGGCUAUAAUGGAAUUUAUUAACCCAAAUUAUGCAAAAAACUAUUACAUGACAGGCAGUGGGUCUGGUGUUAGAAUACCAGCUAUCUAUCCUUCCCUACAUGGAUUAAAUAUCCCACACAGGGAGACAAACAAGUAAAUUUCAAUUUUAAUAUGGCAAGUUAAAUGCCAUGAUAAGAUAAUUAUGUGUACCCUAGCAUUGGAGAAUCAGGGAAGUCUUCCCAGAGGAGGUGACAUCUAAGCUAAACUCUGAAAGAUGAGGCAAUUAGAGUGAAAAGGUUGUAGGAAGAGAAUAGGUUGGAGACAAGAGUAUGGUUAAUUCCAAGAGAAUUGCAACUGUCAGUCCAGAUAUUGCUUCUUUAGGGUAAUCUAAGACGAUGUUUACUUGGUUUCAGUUUUUAAGCAAUUUUCCUUCCAUAUAUAAUUUGUGGUGAUUUGUAACAUCAGGACUCUCAUUUGUGUGUAUUACUGCUGAGUCGGGUCUCCUAUCCUGUAUAUUUGUAAUUUAUUUUUUAAACCUCAGUGUACGUUUUUCCAUUCAUUUAAUUUCAUUUGGCUUGUACUUAUUAGUCCAGGAGUCAGCAACUUUUUUUUCUGUAAAAGGCACGGUAGUAAUUAUUUUGUGGAUC
ensembl:lncRNA